CUGGUCUUGACAUCCACAGAACUUUCCAGAGAUGGAUUGGUGCCUUCGGGAACUGUGAGACAGGUGCUGCAUGGCUGUCGUCAGCUCGUGUUGUGAAAUGUUGGGUUAAGUCCCGCAACGAGCGCAACCCUUAUCCUUUGUUGCCAGCGGUCCAGCCGGGAACUCAAAGGAGACUGCCAGUGAUAAACUGGAGGAAGGUGGGGAUGACGUCAAGUCAUCAUGGCCCUUACGACCAGGGCUACACACGUGCUACAAUGGCGCAUACAAAGAGAAGCGACCUCGCGAGAGCAAGCGGACCUCAUAAAGUGCGUCGUAGUCCGGAUUGGAGUCUGCAACUCGACUGCGUGAAGUCGGAAUCGCUAGUAAUCGCGAAUCAGAAUGUCGCGGUGAAUACGUUCCC
rnacentral:rRNA from 1 species